ensembl:lncRNA
CAACUCUGCUCACUUAGAGCCAUCUCAGUAGAUCAAAUGAUGUUCAAACAGCACUGAUCUGUAGCUAUCAGCUGGAAACAGCCAAAAAUGCUGUUUCUUCAGGCAAAAAAUUGUGAUAGUUUGUAGUAUUUUGAAGAGAAAAUUUACAUCUCUGGAAUCCACUACAUUGAGAAAUGGAAAUUUCAACCUGUCAAGUAACUGAGAAGGAGACAUCCACAGAGCCAGUCCUGCUCCCUCACCAGGAGAUUUGCAGCAGCCCUGCUUAUCCCUGAGAGGUACCAAAGUCUUAAUAAGGAUGGGGGGAAGGAGAGCAUCUUUCCCACUGCAGGUCUUCCUCAUGGCCCUUCACUGGAGUCUCCUGGAAAGAACUGCCACAGUCAUUUGGAGGCAUCUUAACAGCAUCUACACUCUGAAGACAUCUGCUGAAAGUGGUGUAGGUACCCAAAUCAGUUUGGGCUAGCCUGGCAUUUCUCCCAGUGUUCUGACUCAAAGAUGAAAUGUGUUGCUAUCGUUUGCAAGAUGUUCACAAAGUUACAAAAGGAGACUGUACAGCGUGCCACCAUUUAAAAUCUCUUUAAAAUGUUUUUCCAUUGAAACAACAAACCUUGGCAGCUACCAUCUACUCUUUUCUGAUUUACAGCCAGCCAAUUAUAUCACUUAGAAUGCACUUAAUUAACAGGGAUGGAAAUUCAAGGCAUUGCCUUUAUGCUUUAUGUAGCUCUAGUUGUGCCUUAGGAAAAACUUACUGUGUGUUUAUUUCCUCCACUGUUUUUGUUAAUCUCUCCUACAUGCAAUAACUCCCUUGUAAAUAUUAUUUUAGUAAUGACCUCAGAGUGUUCUGAGCGCCUUCUAAAAGUCAGGUAUUAAAAGAAUUCAGUUGCCUCUAAUCUCUUUGUGUGACCUUCAGUCACAACAAUAGCUCUGAUACUUUGAGAAGGAAGAUCUGCUAGAGAGAAAACUGGUCCAGUGAAUCUGGGCCUGACAAACCAUGUUCUGUUUUUGUGGACUACCAGAUGGAAGAGCUACUGUAAGGUCUGCAAUCAGAGGGGCACACAUGCUGGCUGUGGAGGGGAUGGAGACAAUAGGAUGGCCUUCAGCAUGGUCUAACCAUCCAAGCACAACCAAAUGACCUUGCUGAGCAUUUAUGAUGCACUGAGCCCAUAGCAGCAGCCUGGUUUCUUUGUUCUCAAACCAUAACUGCUCUGUGUGGUGGGCUGUGUCACCCUCUAAAGCUCAGUAAAGAGGAGGCUCACUGUGAUUUAGGUGGCCCUGACCACAAAUAUACACAGAAACACACAAGCAUCUCAUGAACUGUGUUAGAAUUGAUGCCUGACAUAGUCACAAUGUUUACAGAAACUAGGCUGUGGUUCAACAUUGUGAUACAAAUAUCACAGUUUCAGAAAAGCUCUAGAUGAAAGGCUUUCCUAUCAUUAUAAUAUUUUUUCUCUUGGUGAAGGCAUAAGAGUGAUAAAUUUCUUACGGCCCUUAACAAAACGAGUGCCACAAAGCACAAGUUUGGAACUUCAUUUUCCUGUGGUUUCAAUAAAAGAUCAUAGAUUGUGAAGAACA